rnacentral:rRNA from 1 species
AUACGUAGGUGACAAGCGUUGUCCGGAUUUACUGGGUGUAAAGGGCGUGUAGGCGGAGAUGCAAGUCAGGAGUGAAAUCUAGGGGCUCAACCCCUAAACUGCUUUUGAAACUGGAUCCCUUGAGUAUCGGAGAGGCAGGCGGAAUUCUUCGUGUAGCGGGGCAAUGCGGAGAUAUUAGGAGGAACACCAGUGGCGAAGGCGGCCUGCUGGACGACAACUGACGCUGAGGCGCGAAAGCGUGGGGAGCAAACAGGAUUAGAUACCCUGGUAGUCCACGCUGUAAACGAUGAAUACUAGGUGUGGGGGGACUGACCCCCUCCGUGCCGCAGUUAACACAAUAAGUAUUCCACCUGGGGAGUACGAUCGCAAGGUUGAAACUCAAAGGAAUUGACGGGG